GCCUGGGUGGCUCAGAGGUUUAAGCAUCUGACUUCGGCUCAGGUCAUGAUCUCACAGUUCGUGAGUUCGCACCCCACGUCAGGCU
rnacentral:tRNA from 1 species